CCCAAAAAAAUCUCAAAUAGAGACACUUUUCAGCCAUCUCAAACUGAUGCACCUAAAAAACAUCUCAAAUAGAGUCACUUGUGCAAAAAGUAACUCUAUUUGAGACGCACACGAGUUACCGUCUCUAACAGAGACGGCGGCCGAAAAGUGUCUCUAUUUGAGAUACUUUUUGGAAGCAUCUCACCGAGAGAUACCGCGCUGCCUUUGGCUCCCGGCUGCCGCUUCCUCGCCGCAAUUUGCAGACUUUUGUGGCUUGUUACGGCUUUUUGGACAUCGUGUGGAGGACAUGAUUAUUAAAUCUCAUCGUGUUAUUGUUUUGACAAGCUGUUCAUCAUGAUGGGCAACGUUUCAGCGCAUAGCCGCUCAUGAGGCCUCCACCCUCAUAGUGCGAAUAGCCACCGGAUGACCCCGUGUAACUGGCCACUGUCCCCCACUGAGCAGAACCUGCCUAUGGUACCACAGAGGCCUUGGACUUGGUUGAGACAACUGCUCGUGCGAAGCCAUGGCUUCCGGAGACGAUCAAACCCCGUGCCGUGCGUGUGACUGGCCACUGGCCAUGGUCACCCUCGCCCGAUGAGCAAGACCAUUGGCCUGUUUGGCCACAUCUAUCUCAAGAAAAUGUGACUGCUCUGUCAGCUGUUUCAUAGCCUUAUCUGCCGACAGCUAGCGAAGGGAUGUUUUUCACUUUGGCAUGACUGCUUUGUUAGGCCGGCUUCAGAGGAUCACUUCCUGGUACUACGCAGAGGCGAGAUUAUUAUGACCAUCGCAUCAAAUGCUGGCUGCGGCCGCCUCUGCGGACAGCUCACUGCUGGCAGGUUUUCUUGAUUAGUGACAAAUCAAUUUUUUUCGCACAAUUUUGCGCUUGAAAGAAAAUAUUUGAUAUUUUUUUUAUAUAUAUUUGUGGGUCAUUUUCGAGCACUUAAAACUCAUGUAAACCCUUUUCAAAAUUUAUUUCACCUAUUGGAUUGCCAAAACUUACCUCUUACUUAGUUGUUCGAUCAACGAAUAAGAUUGUAUUAAAGCCAUAUUUUUUCACCUGUUUUGCUUACCGAUUGAAUUACCAACGCGUUAAUUUUUCAGUGAUAUAUUGUGCGAGGCUCGCAGCCAUGCUAGAUAAUUAGAAAAGUGUUUCUAUAUAUCUACACAUUUUUCUAGUCAAAACACUAUAAUUGGGAAAAC